CAGUAGCCGCGGUAAAACGUAGGGCGCAAGCGUUGUCCGGAAUUAUUGGGCGUAAAGCGCGCGCAGGUGGUUAAAUAAGUCUGAUGUGAAAGCCCACGGCUCAACCGUGGAGGGUCAUUGGAAACUGUUAAACUUGAGUGCAGGAGAGAAAAGUGGAAUUCCUAGUGUAGCGGUGAAAUGCGUAGAGAUUAGGAGGAACACCAGUGGCGAAGGCGGCUUUUUGGCCUGUAACUGACACUGAGGCGCGAAAGCGUGGGGAGCAAACAGGAUUAGAUACCCCGGUAGUCCCUGUCUCUUAUAC
rnacentral:rRNA from 1 species